rnacentral:rRNA from 1 species
UUCAGCAGUCCAAAAUAUUAGUCAAUGCUCGAAAGAGUGAACUAGCUACUGAAUCAAUUAAAAAUUGAUAACAUAAGGGAAAAUAAUGAUAUUACCUUAUUAUUAGUGUCGUCCAAAACUGGUGCCAGAAGACUCGGUAAGGCCAGAGACAUAAACGUUAAUCGUCUUAAUCAGGCGUAAAGGGUUUGUAGGCGGCUUUUAAUUAAUUUAUAAUAAAAUUAAAAAAUAAAAAUAAAUUAAGAAUAAAAGCUAGAAUCAAAUAGAGGAUAUAUCAAAUAAUGCUUAGAGUAGGUCUGAUAUCCUUAAAUACUAAGUAGAAUAUUAAAGGCGAAAGCUUUUUUCCAUUAAUGAUUGACGCUCAGAAACGAAGGUGAGGAUAGGAAAUAGGAUUAGAUACCCAAAAUACCCCUCUCUGUCAACGAUGAAUGGUAAUUAUUAGUAAUUAAUUUAUUAAUGAUAAUGUUAACACGAUAACCAUUCCGCCUUGUGAGUACAACUGCAAAGUUGAAAACAAAAAAAUUAGUCGGUUUCGGAGCAAACGAAGUGAAGCAUGUUAUUUAAUUCGAUAAUCCGCAAAGCUGAAA